CAGCAGCCACGGUAAUACGUAGGUGGCAAGCGUUAUCCGGAAUUAUUGGGCGUAAAGCGCGCGUAGGCGGUUUUUUAAGUCUGAUGUGAAAGCCCACGGCUCAACCGUGGAGGGUCAUUGGAAACUGGAAAACUUGAGUGCAGAAGAGGAAAGUGGAAUUCCAUGUGUAGCGGUGAAAUGCGCAGAGAUAUGGAGGAACACCAGUGGCGAAGGCGACUUUCUGGUCUGUAACUGACGCUGAUGUGCGAAAGCGUGGGGAUCAAACAGGAUUAGAUACCCCCGUAGUCCCUGUCUCUUAUAU
rnacentral:rRNA from 1 species